UCCGGUUCAAGUAAGUGCCCAGCCAUAACAAUUUUGUAGGCUCCGGGCACUUUAUUCAAGUGGGUACGUGAAUAUGUAAAUGUCAAAAUCUAGGGUUUGUUGCUGCUUUGUUGGGUUACCUUGGUCAAUGACACAGGAUAUAUAAGCAUGGACCUAUUAAUAAGAUUAAUUAAACUUAUUAAAGUAUGUGGCUCUAGUGACCGAAAUGCAAGAUAAUGAAUACGGUAUUAUCACAUCUUCACAAAUGUGGUCAAAAGAACAUGAUGUUUUAUUAGACAACCGUGGACGAUUUCAUUUUUCUCAACCAAUUCAGGAAGCUAAGAACUUUAUAUCAAAUAAAGUACAGUAUCAACAAAUGCAAUUUAUGACAGUUUUUUUUAAAUAGGUACCAUGCUUUGUGUACAGGAUAGCUAAAAUUCGUUAAUUAUAUACAUUUUAGUUAAAGGAAAUUUUUUGUAAAUAUGUUAAAUAUGAAAAAAAUAAGAAUUUUUAAUAAAUAAUGUAUUAUUUAUUAAUAAAGGUUUUUUGUUUGUAAAUAUUAAUAUUUAUUGUAGUACAAGCAAUAGAUAGCUGCCAAAUUAACUUAAUUGGUUUGGUUAUUACCAUUUAUAAAGAAAUAAAAUAUGUCUUUAUUAGAUAUUACUAUGUCAACCUUUUGUCAUGAAGUUACCAUCACAAAGUUACCAUAAUUUUUUUUUUCAUUUAUCAAUUUAUUAAUAUUAGUUGAUAAAAUUUCUUUUAUUUUUUAGUGUCAUUUUAAAGCUACAUGUAUAUUUAAUGCAUACCAUAUCCCUAAAGUAUAUUAUAAGCCUUCAUUUCACAGAUUUUUUUGAAAAUGUAUAUAUAGCUUAAAAAUCUUCGUCCAUUUUGAUGUCAUGAAGUUACCGACAUUAUUAAAAUUAAUAAUUAAUAUAUGGAAGGUGAUAUUUAUUUUUUUUUCUUGUAGGAAUAAAGUUACAUAUAGUAGGAACAAUGUGUAUAUAUGGUUUGGUCAAUUUUGAAUAAAUUAUGUGUUUUUAAAAAAGUUAAAGUGUUGAAUUUGUUGUAAAAGUGUCAUGAAGUUACCGUGGAAUUGCCUAAAAACAACAACACAUAUAAUCAUAGCCUAGGUAUAGACUGGAAUGAUGAUCAUUUAUUAAAAGAAGGCCAGCCUAGACUACAUAGGCCUAAUCAGUUGUUUUAUUAUUUUACAAUCUCAAAAUUUUUACUGGUUGGCCAGUUAUGUUUACCGGUAACAUUGACGGCUAAAAUGGCUUCGGGAGAAUACUGAGGUACUGUAUAUGUAGUUUUUUUACAGGAUAUACUGUGGAAUACAGGUACAUGAAAAGUUCGCCUUUUUAAUUUUUUCUUUUAGUAUUCUCCACCCGUGUCAAAAGAGCUCAAGACAGGCAGACUUUCCAGCAGUUUGCGCAAUGAGUUUGCAAGAAAUGUGUGUUCUAUGAUCAGAGUCCACAAAUGAAUCCCACUAAGAGUGAAAGGGAGCAUGUGUGUUUUCAAAUAAGAAAUAUCCAUUCUUGGCAGGCACCAUGGGUUCGGGCAUAGUAAGUACAAUCAUCUAACUAAAACCCUUACAGACAAAUGUCUUGCAAGUACUGUCACCGUAUCUGCUUGAGUAAGCACCCACCCAGAAUCCAUUUAACCAUGGAACACUUUAAUUAUCUUAUCAAGCACUAAAAUAUUUUUAUAAAAAAUACAUGUCCAAUACAAACAUUUUUAUGUCUUGAGAAACUGGUAAUGCAACUUGCAAUCUUAAACUAAAAGGAACAAGUAUCACUUAAAAUUUUUAAGUUUCUUUAUAGUCCGGUUCAAGUAAGUGCCCAGCCAUAACAAUUUUGUAGGCUCCGGGCACUUUAUUCAAGUGGGUACGUGAAUAUGUAAAUGUCAAAAUCUAGGGUUUGUUGCUGCUUUGUUGGGUUACCUUGGUCAAUGACACAGCAUAUAUAAGCAUGGACCUACAGUAUUAAUAAGAUUAAUUAAACUUAUUAAUAGGUCCAUGAUGUGAGGCAGUUGGAACAGAGAAUGGAGAGACUGAUGAUAUGCAGGGAGCAUGUACAAGACUUAAAGAAAGAAAUGUCAAAGUUGAGACACCGUAACUACUGGACACUCUAACUACUGGACAAACAUGCUCCUGUAAAAAAGUGUGUCACUUUUCUGCGUCCAUACUGCAAAUGGUAUACAGCUGAGAUCUUAGAAGCUAAAAAAAAGAGACGUCAUGCAGAAAGGAAUUGGCAUGUCUAAGUUAGAAGUUCACCGGCAAAUUUUUUGUAGUACUUGCAAACAUGUCAAUUUCCUCAUCCAUGCAGCCAAGGUUGAUUACUACUCGAACCUUAUUUCGCAAAAUGCACAUGACCAGAAAUUUCUUUUCAAAAUUAUUUCAACCUUAUCUAAUGCACGAAAUGACAAUGGUUUCCAUCAUGUACUUCUAAAAAAGAACUCUCUGAAAAAUUUAACAAUCACUUCAUCCAAAAAGUGAACGACAUGCGUGCAAUUAUUGAUGCUGAGAACAAUACUGUUGAUUUUAGUGACCUAGAAGCCAUAUCAUUGACUUCCAUAAAUAUAUUUAUAAAAAAUGUGUCUGAAGAUGAUGUUCAGAUAUUAAUUAACAAUCUAACCACUAAAACAUGUCUGCUUGAUCCACUACCAACUACAAUUGUCAAACAGUGUCUACACAAGCUCCAGUUUAUUAUUACACAGAUUAUUAAUCUGUCUCUGGAAAAUGGUGUUUUUUUUCUGACUCACUCAAGUUAGCAGUUGUGCUGCCACUUUUAAAGAAACCAACGCUUGAUCGGGAGAUUCUUCGAAACUACAGACCAAUUUACCAUUUAUUGCGAAAGUAAUGGAAAAAGUUGUUGCCUCUAAGCUGACUACCUAUCUUCACAAUAAUUCUUUGUCAGAGCCUUUUCAAUCAGCAUACAGAAAAUUUAGCAGUACUGAAACAGCUCUCAUUGCUGUUGAGAAUGACAUCUUGUUAUCACUUGACAGUGGACAAUGUGUGCUGUUCACACUUUUAGACUUAUCCGCUGCAGUUGACACGAUAGACCACGAAAUCCUCCUACGUUGAUUAUCAGAUUUGGGAAUUGGGUAUUUAGCUCUCCAGUGGAUGCGUACAUAUUUAACAGGCAGACUUCAAUUUGUUAAUAUUGACGGCCAUUUAUCUUCUUCGCAAUGUGUAUGUUCCGGAGUGCCUCAGGGCUCUGUCCUGGGCCCAAUCUUGUUUAACAUCUAUAUGCUUGGAUUGGGGAAACUAAUACAGCGUCAUAAUCUCAAUUUUCAUCAGGAUGCUGAUGACACUCAAAUAUAUAUAUCUUUCUCUCGGUCAGAUUUUCUGCUGUUAUCAACUCAGUUGAGGUAUGUUUUAGUGCUAUAAAGAAGUGGAUGACACAGAAUAAACUAAAGCUUAAUGAUUCAAAAAUGGAAGUUGUAAUUUUUCAGUCAAGGUUUAUCCCUCACCAUUAAAAGUUGGGGGUGUGAACAUUGGUUCCUGUCUCAUUCAGCCUGUAACAUCAGCCAGGAAUCUUGGUGUUCUUUUUGAUACUUCGCUUACUCACCAACAACAUGUCAUGAAUAUGUCUCGUUCAAUUUUCUUCGAAAGAUUGGUCAAAUCAGGAAGUAUUUAUCGCAGCAUACAUGUGAAAUACUUGUUCAUGUCCUGGUAUCGUCCAGGCUUGAUUAUUGCAAUGCCUUGCUAUAUGGACUACCCGAUACAUUCAUUUUAUGCCUUCAAAGAGCACAAAAUGCAGCUGUCAGAAUCAUUGCUAAGAAGAGGAAGUCUGAUCACAUCACACCAGUUUUAAAAUAUCUCCACUGGCUUCCAGUUCACUACAGAAUUGAAUUCAAAAUCCAAUUGUUAACUUAUAAAGCUCUCAAUGGUCAUGCUCCUAACUAUAUAUGCAACAUUAUUCAGUAUUUGCAACCAUCAAGAUCCCUUUGGUCUUCUGAAAAAACAUUGGUUAUACACACCAAGAUGGAAAUUAAAAUCUUUCGGGAAGCGUUCUUUUUCCUGUGCUGCACCAUAUUUAUGGAACAAAGUGCCCAUUGAAAUAUGGAACUCUCCAAAUCUGAAUGUGUUCAAGAGCAAUCUGAAAGCUUUCCUUUUUUCAAGAGCAUUCUGGACAAGUGUGACACCUACACUGAAUAUUUCUGGAUAUUGGCACUAUAUAAAUAUUUUGAUUGAUUGAUUGAUAGAACAAUGAUUUAAUUGACAACCUAAUGGAGGCAACCUAUAGCUACCGGCGUAGAAACAUCCUUGAAAAUCAGGUGUCGAUAAAUAACGUCAUGCUGGAAUAUUCUGCACUUCAGUUAGUGUCAGAGAUCAAGGCAGAAUUUUCAAGAAUACUUGGGGAGGAGAAAUUAGGAAUAUGGGACGUGCCUUCAAAACAAUGCAGUCAAGUGUUUUUAAUCUGGCUAUGGCUAAGGGGGUGCUGAAAGACCUCAACAUCAACAACCUUAUUGAGGAAUAUCCCAGCAGACAAUCAGGUACCGUAUUUAUUGCACAUGUAUGUAUCCCAAUGAAUUAUAGAAACUUCAUUUUUAAUUUUAUUUAUUUUAUUACAUGUACAGGUACAGUAUGUCAUGGAUUAUUUCAUUAAAAUUAUGAUAAUACCUGUAAUAUCUAUUGAAGAGGACAGAAGUUCAAUUACAAUAUAUAAUUUCAGUUUUGGUGUCUGAGGCGCACGGUAUUAUUACUAUAACGUGAUGAUCACUGAGGCAUUUCCCCUUCCCGGAGGUGCCGGCGAUUGUGGGCAAUCCCAAAUUUAAAAAUUAAAAUGUUGAUGUGUUUACUAUGUAUUCUGUGUGUGUAUGUUUUGUAUGUUUGGUAUUCAAACUGACAAGCCACCGCUUCUUUUGAUGCCUAUGUAAACAAUUUGCAAUUUGUAAUUUGUUGUGAAUUUUUUCUGAAUAAAUGUUUCUGAUAGUGUUGACAAAUAAAAAAGAUAACCAAUUGGUGAUCAACAAAGACACCAGAAAUGACAAAAAACAGAAAAUUUGGAUUGUUAAGUGAGAUUUACGUAGGGAAACAAAUGUUUCUUCAGAAGCCGACGAAAACCAAGAUAAGAAGAAGCAUGUUGUAACUUGCUAGGAAGACUAUUCCAAAGCCUAGGUGAAGCAAAUUGAAAAGGCCUUAUCACCAGAUUUUUUAUUAGACUGAGGUAUACAAAGACAAAAUGAACCAGAUGAACGAAGAUUAUGGCCAUGGCGAUAUUGUUGCCUAGAGGUAAGUGUACAGAUGUAAACAGGGGUACUGUUUUGGCAAUUAAUUGAACAAAAUGUGAUGGAAAGUGUACAAAAAAUAACUCUCUGUCUAAUCAGAUCUUCAACCAAUGAAGUAGUGGACUAGCAGUAUGAAAUUUAGGAAGGCGAAACAAUACAAUAUACUGUAAACACUUUAUGUUUAUCUUUGUUAUUGACUGUUUAAUUUUAAUGUUUAACUGCACCCACAGAAAUUGAAGGAAUGGCUAGCGUACUUGCAAUCCUCUGCUGCUUAGGGAGACUGGGACAGACAGUGCCAUUAUGAAAAUUUUCUCUAGAAAAAGUCUAGAAAAAACAAAAAUACAAAAUAGCUAUACCCUAAGCCUAAAGCCCCUUUGAUAGCCUUUUGAAAAGAUCUAAAUGCUGAGUAUCUAUAUAUUUGACCUAAUAUAACCACACACCAUCGUUAGAAGGCUAGUACAGUAGUAAUAUAAAUACUAUUAUUGUAGCAAUAGAAGAAUGGGAAAUAAAUUAUUUUCAUUUUAAAGCAGUAAUAAAGAUGAAAAGACAAUAGCAAAAUGGUAUAGGCUAUAUGCCUUUAUGGUAGAGUGUUGGAAAAUGUUUGUCCCCGUUCAUAUACCGUACCAACGUGAAUAAAUACCCUGUACGAAUAAGCGUUCAACCUUGGGGAAAGGUUUUCUUCGCCCCAUUUGAAUUACCUCACCUUUUAAAUUGUUGAAUACUAAAUACAGUAUUUCGACUGAUGCUCAAAUGCGCACAUAUAUUUGGAUUUUAAACCUUAUAUCUUAGCCUAAAGUUUGAGACAUCAAUCACACUAUCGAAUAUCUUUAAGGUGCAGUUAUAUCGAGUAAAUUUGGAAAGUUGAUAUCAAGUAAACAGUUUUCAUCAGAGAACUAAUUAUACAAAAAAUUAUUAAUACAAAACAAUGGAGAAUGCUACAUUACAGGUGACGGUGCCCUACAAAUUUUCAAUAGUCACUAUUAUUUUCCCUUUCGAGUAAGUUUAUAGGAAUAGAUAUAAUAUAAUGGGUUAUGAACAGGAUUGAUUGCAGUUAAACACAUACAUAACCCUAGGCUCGUUCUGCCCGACUAAAAGUAAUAUCUAUUUUGAUUUGUAUAUUAAACAAAUUCUCCCUGCCUACUUAUUUUUUAGAAAGAAAGGAUGUAAUAAGUUGCUUGUAAUUGUUUUUAGAUUAAAAUCUGUAUCUGUUCUUUCUUCAUUUUCUCUUUGUUUUGAUUUCUAUUAGGAGAAUGAAUCCAUUGAUCAGAGCAUUAAGGAG